CGCCCGUCAAACCAUGGGAGCUGGUAAUGCCCGAAGUCGGUUUAUAAACAAACUGCCUAAGGCAGGACUGGUGACUGGGGUUAAGUCGUAACAAGGUAUCCCUACGAGAACGUGGGGAUGGAUCACCUCCUUUCUACGGAGUACAAAAUACUUUAUUACUUAAUUUACUAUUGGAGUAAAUUAAAUUCUUAACUUUAUUAAUCAGACCUAUUAACCAAUUUGUCAUGGCUUUCAGGUCAAAAGCUUUAUAUCUAGUUUUGAGAGAACAUUCUCUCAAUUGUUCUUUGAAAACUGAAUAGUAAGAUAUUUUAAAAAUAUUUACAACGACAUCUUAACAAAUAUAAAUGUCAAUUUGUUUUGAUCAUCGAGUAAUCAUAUAACUUAUGAUUUAUUGAAAUGUCUUAAAAUACACAUCAUUAACCAAACAAUAGGAAAAUACUUUAAAUAAGGAAGAGUUUGUGGUGGAUGCCUUGGGUCUGGAAGUCGAUGAAGGACGUGAUUACCUGCGAUAAGCCUCGUGGAACUGGAAAUAAGUUAUGAAGCGGGGAUUUCCGAAUGGGGGAACCUAACUAGUGUAAUGACUAGUUGUCUAAUUCUGAAUACAUAGGAAUUAUGAACGAGACACCUUGUGAACUGAAACAUCUUAGUAGCAAGAGGAAAAGAAAAUAAAUAAUGAUUUCUUUAGUAGCGGCGAGCGAAAGAGAAAGAGCCCAAACCAUAUUUAUAUGGGGUUGUAGGACAGUCUACAUAAAGUUACAAAAUUUAAUGAUAACAGAAGCUUUUGGGAAGAAGCGCCAUAGAAGGUGAUAGCCCUGUAUGUGAAAUUGUUAAAUCUUUUGACUGUAUCCUGAGUAGGGCGGGGCACGUGAAACCCUGUCUGAAUCUGCCGGGACCACCCGGUAAGGCUAAAUACUAACCAGACACCGAUAGUGAACUUA
rnacentral:sRNA from 2 species